UACUCGUGCGCUAUUAUGUCGCACGUCUGACAGAGGCCCCUGCCGUCUCCUGUGUGAACUAUUACUUCGAGAGAUACGCUGUGUUUAUAUUAUUCAUCGUUCUCCUAUUGGAAAUGCGCAGUUCUCGUGCAAAUGGCCAUAUAAACGCGGGGUACACUUGCUGCGAAACUGCCAAGCUGGGGUACUGGGUUAGACAGUUAUUCGGACUCUAGCGAGUGAGAGGGGGUGUGGCUCAGUGGGCGGUUGUAGGCGUGGUUUCCUUGACAGCCGGAGCUGUUCCCGGCAUGCCCUGGGGCUGGCGGGGUUGGUUCUAACGUAUUUGAAUGAGGAGCUCUGCGCUUUCGGCGCCAUUUUCGAGUCAUGACUCGACCGUACACUUUGGUAGGGAGCUGUGGCGGGUAUGCGUGGAACUAUAGACGGUGCGGCUGGGAUGUUCGUGUCUCCCGAGGGGGUGGGGGGACAGGAGGACGAGGGGAGUGGAGAUGGACGGGGAGUGGGAGGUGAGAGCCUCAAAAAACAACGCACAGUGAUCGCUGUCAGCGGAGCAGCAGAAACAGAUAUCUUGGGCGUCAACAAAAACUGAAACUGUUGAAGGGCAUUGUCUCGGGGCUUCACAAAGCAAUUCCUGCCAAGCUGACUUAACCUGCCACUGAAAGACAAUGUGGUUAAAUGACCUUGAAGUAAAGUAGCAGCACAUAAUGGUUUGUGGGUUACACAGAGGUGCAGGCCAUACUGUGCUGCCGCCAAAACACAAGGCUUUCCUCCCCUCAAGUGGACGCCAUUUCUAAGAGAAUUAUCCGUGUGUUGUCGCCAGCAGUCCUUUAGCAGCACGUAAAUAUUGGAGUUGAAAUGGUCCCAAUAUUAACUGUGCUGCUAGAGUAAAGCUGGUCCAUCUCAAGGAUCAGAACCGGCUGCUGUGGCCCCCAACUUGUUGUUCCAAUGCAAAUCUCCUCCUAUUCAUAGCUGUGUAUUAUACUUCAAGGAAAACUACCCCCAAAAUGAAUACUUAAGCAACAGACCGUUUAUAUCAUAUUAAGUGACAUAUUAAAUUUAUUUUAGUAAACUGGUAUAUAUAUUUAAGUAAAUAUUGCCCUUUUACAUCUCUUGCCUUGA